UAAAGGGCCUUCAAACUUCUAAAUUUAUAUUUGUAAUAUCCUAAAAAUAAAUUUCAUUUUGUCUUACUAGUUAUUACAUUCCAACUAAUGAGGUUUGGUUUGGUUUUGCAGUGCAGGGCAACUGAACUUGGGGACUCACAUAUGCUUUACCACUGCGGGUUCUUUGCCACCGAGAUGAAUUCCCAGCUAAGGGGUUCUCUUUAUUUUUACUGGUAUUGAGAAAGAUAAGAAGGCAGGUGCUAGGCUCAGCAGUGCACUCAUGUAACCCCAGCUCAAAAGACCAAGGCAGGAAAAUUACAAGUUUGAGACCAGCCUCAGGAAUUUAGCAAGACCCUGUCUCACAAGAAAAAAAAAAAAUGGGGAUGGGGAUGAAGCUCAGUGGCAAAUCACCCUGUUUCAAUUCCUAGUACCAAAAAGAAAGAAAGAAAGAUUAAAAGCAGCAUAGAAUAUAGUUUCCUAUGAAGCACACUGUUGUAUAACUAGAAAUCAUUUCAUUAUAACACUAUAAUAUUCUUUGAAUCUUUAGGUAAAUCAUUAAUGGCUCCACCAUACUUUAAAGGACUUAGAGGGAAAUCUUCAACAGAGGGAACUCAGAAGAUGUAAUUAGAUCAAGACCAGGAAUUGAAUUGCAAAUGGGUGUUAAAUUUUAGGAUUGUAACUUACAUUUCCUUGACGAUGGGUAGUGAACAAAUUUGGCUAUCAAAAUACACAUAAGCCAACUGGAUAUCUGUGAAACACCAGUUCAAAAUCUGUGCCUAUUCACGACAUUGGCCUUCUCUUCUUUGGAAGCAUGAAUUGACAUUUCCUCCAUACAAUGGCUUGCUUUUUCACAAACAGUGGUCUUGCCUGGAAGGCUCUGAAGUGUACAUGGCCAUAGGAAUAUGGACGUCUUCACUGUGUCAAGAAUAAAGAAGAAAAAUAAAAAGGAACUAGACAUGACUGGACCAACUCUGUUAAAGAUAAGCCUUUUAAUCAAGCCUAUUGAAUGUGUUUAAAAGACCUAAAUAUCUUUUGUGCUUCUUUCAUGCUGGGUCCUGAGAUGUUUGGGGUCCUCAUUCUAACAAACUGCUCAUCACUUGACUACCUUUGCCUUUCAGUCUCCUGGGUGACAGCCUCAUGUGGAUGAAAGAAAUUCCCAUCUCUGCACUGUCUCUUCCACCUGUUCCCUUCACAGAGGGGUGUCUGACUGAAAACUACUCUAUUCUAGUUCUAUUGCUACAAAUGUCAUGUGUUGAUCAUUCUCACCACCUGUCUCCACUGUAUAUACUAUCUUUAAAAUUAACUUAAAAAUGUAGUAAUAUUGUGCUGGGUACCACUUCGAUUUUAUUUAUUAUUCAUUAUUCUUAACAAAUUAAGCAGUUCAGUAGAGAAAAAUAACCUUAUUUUUAAAAGAAUAACCACUGCUUUAAGUUAUACAUUAUUCUGAAUUGAAUGUUAACAGAUUAAAAAUAUGUACUGAUAAUUCUUUGAAUAUGCUUGAAUAAACACUAGAUUUUUAAAA